GAGUAUUAUUGACAGUCUGCGAACCGUUACGGGGACAAUAGGUUCUCUACAAAAAUUGGGUUUUGAGCAUGUGUAGGGCCUACACAAGAUUCAGCAGACUACACGUAAACAAACUAUGUUCCUUUAUACUUCUACCUUACAUCGCACAGAGCUCAAGAGUACUCCCUACGUUUUAUUUAUGGUUUAGAGUCCAUGGGAAAGGAGGUGAUCGUCUAAAUGUUGACCUAUCAGCUAAAGAAUCAGCUUCUUACAAGACGACCCAUGCAUGCAUCUUCUUAUUGAUAUCUCCCCGUGGCUUUCAGCUUCAACCCUUACAAACAGAGGUGACAAACAAUAUCUUGGCAGGAAUUAAAACCGUAAGGACAUAUCUCUAGAUACAACCUCCGUGUAUCAUCUCAUCUAUGUUCCGAUGGUCAUUAUUUAGUCAUGUUUCGUGACGUCAACAAUCGCUUAGUCAAUCUGGUUCGGAGGUUACGAGGGGACGAUCAGGAGGCGAUUAGCUCCGAUAAUCCUGUGCAGAUUCAGAGCGAUCAGACAAGUCUACUUGUAGAGAAUGACACCUAUGUCAUAAAGAAAACACCAAGAACAGACCAAGGAAUCAAUGAAAAGACGAGGAAGCAAAUCAACAAACGAAAAGAAAAUGAUUUUUCUAAACAUAAAAGUGCCGCCGAUGUAAAGAACAGGGAGAAUAACGCAAAUACGAUCUUAGAAAGCCGAGGUACGAACGAUGAUGUGGAUGUUUAUGGGGUACCCGGUGGCCCACUGGAUGAAAUAUUCCCAGCAAGGACUUGUGUUGCAUCAUCUAACCGGUCCCAAGGGUCAGGGUCGUCAGAGCUAAGGGUUUUUGAUUGGUUUAACUUCUGACAGGGGUUCUCUUACAUCUUCUAAGAAUAUAUAAAGCGGGAAAAUAUAUCCCUAUUUACAGAUGCGACGAUUUUAUUAUUAAAAAUGCGCAGGAAUCGGUCAUCAUAUAGCGAUACACAAAAACAGACAUAACAUCUGAUAAGAACCAGAAGAAUGUUAAAUAAUUUAAUUUAGCAUAUCAUUUACAACCUUCUGCCUCUUAGCAGACGAUGCAUGUAAUAUAUUUACUUAUAUCGGAGUGUAGGCUGUGUUCAAAUCGAAAGAACAUCCACAUUCUAAGGCAGGAAGUAAGGGAAGUUAUAAAGAUCAAGUUAGUACCGAUUUAAAAUAUAUCAAUUAUAUUCAAAUUAUGGAUCCUGCCAAUAAAUGACUUCCUUUACGUCGGAUGCCGUAACAAGUAUAGUAUAGGUUGGAUCUUUCAGCAACAAAGAAUGGCAGUUUCCAUUAUAUAUCAGAUUACCGUUACAAAUGUCUAAGAAAUUACAAACCGUUCCAAAUGAGUAGUAUACCUUCAAAUAUUUUUGUUGUUAAAGUAACCAGCACGCAAAAAAAAAAAAAAAAAAAAAUCAAAUCAAAUUGGCACAUUCUAUGUCCUUCUUGGAACAUACUUUUGACUCAAAAGAUGUCAUUUUGUUGGCAAAAGAUUAAUUUUUCCAUUACAAAUUUAAUGAAAAUAUAUACAUAAAUAAAUUUUGUAUGUGGAUUUUUGUUUAAGUGUAUGUUUAUUUAUGAAUAUACAGUAUUUGAGGGUAUGCAUUUCUGUCAGUGGCAUUAUAUAGAUUAGAAAGGUUUUGGCAGAAAGAAAAGACAUUGGGUAUAAUUAAUCAGCCAACAUUAUUACCAACUUUAUCAACACAAAGUGGCAUAUCCAGCAUAAGAUUAACACAGUUCUAAUUUGUUUUUGUCUUCUUAUUUUUUAAAAUUAAUUUUUAUCGCAAAUAAGAUUGCUCAUUUUAAAUAUAAAUUGAGAGAUGUCAUUUGUAUGCAUCUUAAAUUUUCUACAUAAAUGUGGCAUUUUACACAAAAUAGCAGAAAUAUUGAACUUGAUGGGGUAGGGGAGGGGAGGGGAGGGGUAGUAAUUGUGCAUUACUCGAGCUUCCAGGUCUGUUUCACAUAUUGGUUUUAAAAACUAUUCUGAAAUGAAUAUGUGUCACCUAAAGCAAUGAAUGUGUAUAUAUAUAUGAAUAAUUUGUUAAUCAUUGUGUUAUAGAAGGAACUCAUAAGUGGCACGUUAUUCUUUUUCUCUAAAAAUGUUAAUCAGUAGUUGUUAAUCUUCUUGAAAAAUAUUAGUUUUCUUACGUAUAUUUGGAUCAUCAAAAAUCAGUUCAUUACGAGUAGAAAAAUUAUCUGUUUUGGUAAGCUUUCUCUUGCUGUGCUGAAAGCUGCAUCAGCAACAGCGCCAGCUAUGACAUAAGUUUGAAGAAGUUUGCAGAACAGAAAGUGAAAGUUUACCAAAAGAGGUAAUUUUUCUACUCAUAGAGAAGACAAAAAUAAUUUUCAAGAGACAUCACCAAUCAGAAGAACCUCUUCAGUGUUUGGAUCAUUUCAAACGCAGUAAAUCUAUGUUGCAGACUUGUUACUUUUACAAAGAUAGCCUAAAUAGAAGGAAAACAAAUAAAUGAUUUUAAAACAUGCUUUCAAAUCAAACUGAACGAAAUAAAGCAUGGAAAGGUAAUUAUCAUAAUUUGAUAUGCUUCGUUUACAAAUAAUCAGACAUUGUGUUCUGCAGCCGGAAAUUUAUGCUCUUAAUAAGAAAGUACUAUUUUGUUACAUACACUUUUAUUGUAUGUAUGCAAUAAAUUUGUUGAUUUCAUGAAAG